rnacentral:lncRNA from 1 species
GAGAUUCUAUUAAUAUGUAUACAUGUGCACGCAUUGAAGGAAUUGGAGGCUGCUAGGUUAAUUUUUAUAUACAUACGCACGGGAAACGAAGCAGAGAGCUGGGGUGCUGAAUUGAAGACAUAUUACACGCACAAAGAAAGGGCAGAAAGUGGGCUCCAAACAUUAAUAAGGCUGCCGGCUGCAAUAUUAUAGAGAGAUAUACGCAUUGGAGCAGUUUUGGGCAGAAGAAAAUCGGCAGGAGCAAAUUAAAUACAAACACAGAAAUUGAAGCAGCUUUGGUGAAAAUUAAUUGCCGGCAAACAGGGAAUUAGAAGGGGAGAUUACACAAGCCGUUAAAGCCAGAAAAUUGGGAGACACCACAAGGAUGAAGACGUCACAUGCGAUUGGAAUUAAACACGUUCCAUCAAUGUUUUUGGUGACGUUCUUUCA